CGCGUAGGUGGUUGUGAUAGUCAGAUGUGAAAUCCUUUGGCUUAACUAAAGAACUGCAUCUGAAACUUCAUAACUCGAGUACAGGAGAGGGAAACGGAAUUCCCGGUGUAGAGGUGAAAUUCGUAGAUAUCGGGAGGAACACCAGUGGCGAAGGCGGUUUCCUGGCCUGAUACUGACACUGAGGCGCGAAAGCGUGGGGAGCAAACA
rnacentral:rRNA from 1 species